rnacentral:sRNA from 2 species
GGUUGAGCCUGGCCGAACCUCCUCGUGGAGGACGGGGGACCCACCAUCCCUGGGGCGAAUCGCGACAAGCGACGGCGGACCCAACGCCGAGCCCGACAGCUCACCUCGCAGGCCGAACGGGCUGCUUCG